GAGUUUGAUCAUGGCUCAGAUUGAACGCUGGCGGCAGGCUUAACACAUGCAAGUCGAGCGGAGAUGAGGUGCUUGCACCUUAUCUUAGCGGCGGACGGGUGAGUAAUGCUUAGGAAUCUGCCUAUUAGUGGGGGACAACAUUCCGAAAGGGAUGCUAAUACCGCAUACGUCCUACGGGAGAAAGCAGGGGAUCUUCGGACCUUGCGCUAAUAGAUGAGCCUAAGUCGGAUUAGCUAGUUGGUGGGUAAAGGCCUACCAAGGCGACGAUCUGUAGCGGGUCUGAGAGGAUGAUCCGCCACACUGGGACUGAGACACGGCCCAGACUCCUACGGGAGGCAGCAGUGGGGAAUAUUGGACAAUGGGGGGAACCCUGAUCCAGCCAUGCCGCGUGUGUGAAGAAGGCCUUAUGGUUGUAAAGCACUUUAAGCGAGGAGGGGGCUACUGAGACUAAUACUCUUGGAUAGUGGACGUUACUCGCAGAAUAAGCACCGGCUAACUCUGUGCCAG
rnacentral:rRNA from 1 species